rnacentral:SRP_RNA from 1 species
GCAGCCGGGGUUUUAGCGGGGCCCUGUAACCUGCAAUCCGCUACAGCAGGGGUCAUGCCGAUCCGAGGAUCCUCGUCUGGUGGAGCCGCCCUCUUCAAGUGGCGCUGACGUCCGGGUCCUGCGCAAUGAGAAUCUGUGAACCGUGUCAGGAUGGGAACAUAGCAGCACUAAGCAGACCAUCUCGUGUGUCGCAGGGGUGCCUGGGCCGAGUUAACUAAAGAGGUAACGUCUGUUGGACAGAAUACAGAGUGAGGCGCACG